AUGAAUAAAAGUACUUGUGUGGGGAAAGCAGAGACCCCGAGCGGGCUGUGGCGGCUACAUUGUCUGGCGUCCGCUCAGUGUUUUCGUCACAGCCAGGCCCGCCUGCCGCGGAGGGGAGGCGCGCUCUGCUCCCCGCGGAGGCUGGACCCCGGCUCCGCGUCCCGGGAAGGGUCCCCCCGCUAGUCACUCUGCACCCGGGUCAUCGGAUCCGCGAGGCGCUCUGAAAAUUGCGGAGCGGCCACCGGACGCCAGCUGGAGUAAGCAGCAGCAUGCAGUCGUCGCCAAGCCUCUGCGGACGCGCCCUGGUGGCGCUGGUUCUUGCCUGCGGCGUGGUGGGGGUCUGGGGAGAAGAGAGGGGAUUCCCGCCUGCCGGGGCCACUCCGCUUCUGCAAACCACAGAGAUAAUGACGCCACCCACUAAGACCUCCUGGCCCAGGAGUUCCAACACCAGUCUGCCGCGGUCGUUGGCACCUGCGGGGGUGCCUAAAGGAGGACGGACUGCAGGAGCCCCGCCACGCACCCUCUCCCCUCCCCGGUGCCAAGGAACCAUCGAGAUCAAAGGGACUUUCAAAUACAUCAACACGGUUGUGUCCUGCCUCGUGUUCGUGUUGGGCAUUAUCGGGAACUCCACACUGCUGAGAAUAAUCUACAAGAACAAGUGCAUGCGAAACGGCCCCAAUAUCUUGAUCGCCAGCCUGGCUCUGGGAGACCUGCUGCACAUCAUCAUUGACAUCCCCAUCAAUGUCUACAAGGUAAAGGGCCCCUGCUAA